ensembl:lncRNA
AUGUUUAUUAGGAUGGAGGGAAAUUUAUAAGUAUCAGUCAUGUUUAUUAGGAUGGGGGGGAUUUAUAGAGUAUCAGUCAUGUUUAUUAGGAUGGAGGGGAUUUAUAAAGUAUCAGUCAUGUUUAUUAGGAUGGGGAGGGAUUUAUAGAGUAUCAGUCAUGUUUAUUAGGAUGGGGGUGGGAUUUAUAGAGUAUCAGUCAUGUUUAUUAGGAUGGGGUGGGAUUUAUAGAUUAUCAGUCAUGUUUAUUAGGAUGAUGGGGAUUUAUAGAGUAUCAGUCAUGUUUAUUAGGAUGGAGGGGGGGAUUUAUAGAGUAUCAGUCAUGUUUAUUAGGAUGGAUGGGAUUUAUAGAGUAUCAGUCAUGUUUAUUAGGAUGGAGGGGAUUUAUAGAGUAUCAGUCAUGUUUAUUAGGAUAGAGGGGAUUUAUAGAGUAUCAGUCAUGUUUAUUAGGAUAGAGGGGAUUUAUAGAGUAUCAGUCAUGUUUAUUAGGAUGGAGGGGGGGGAUUUAUAGAGUAUCAGUCAUGUUUAUUAGGAGAAGAUGGGGGAUUUAUAGAGUAUCAGUCAUGUUUAUUAGGAUGGAGGGGGGGAUUUAUAGAGUAUCAGUCAUGUUUAUUAGGAUGGAUGGGGGGAUUUAUAGAGUAUCAGUCAUGUUUAUUAGGAUGGAGGGGAUUUAUAGAGUAUCAGUCAUGUUUAUUAGGAUGGAUGGGGGGAUUUAUAGAGUAUCAGUCAUGUUUAUUAGGAUGGAGGGGAUUUAUAGAGUAUCAGUCAUGUUUAUUAGGAUGGAGGGGAUUUAUAGAGUAUCAGUCAUGUUUAUUAGGAUAGAGGGGGGGAUUUAUAGAGUAUCAGUCAUGUUUAUUAGGAUGGAGGGGAUUUAUAGAGUAUCAGUCAUGUUUAUUAGGAUGGAUGGGGGGAUUUAUAGAGUAUCAGUCAUGUUUAUUAGGAUGGAGGGGAUUUAUAGAGUAUCAGUCAUGUUUAUUAGGAUAAG